UACGUAGGGAGCAAGCGUUGUCCGGAAUCAUUGGGCGUAAAGCGCGCGUAGGUGGCCUCAUAAGUCCGCUGUGAAAGUCAAAGGCUCAACCUUUGAAAGCCGGUGGAUACUGUGAGGCUAGAGUACGGAAGGGGCGAGUGGAAUUCCUGGUGUAGCGGUGGAAUGCGCAGAUAUCAGGAGGAACACCAAUAGCGAAGGCAGCUCGCUGGGACGUCACUGACGCUAAGACGCGAAAGCGUGGGGAGCAAACAGG
rnacentral:rRNA from 1 species